GACGGUAUAGCUCAGUGGUAGAGCACAGGCUUAGCAUGCGUAAAUUCCUGGGUUCAAUCCCCAGUAUCUGCA
rnacentral:tRNA from 1 species